AAAAUAUUCAUCAUGAAUCUAACACACACGAAGAACAUUCAGAUUUUACAUCAAAAGUAUGGCCGAAUACAUCCGCUAUAAUUGCUGCAAUCAAAAUGCCUCCUCCAAAGCCACUGAAACGUCAAAUACCAGAACGAAUUGCUUUUUGUGCCGGGCAAUCUGCACAUCAUGUGGACAAUUUAGACGUACACCAAACGAUCCUGUUCGACGAGGUCUUUUCCAAUGUCGGCAAUGCAUACAAUCCUAAUUCAGGAGUAUUUCGGGUUUCCGUUUCCGGGUAUUACGUAAUGUCGCUGGUGUAUAAUGCAGGAGUUAAGACAGGAGGUAUAACCGAUCGGUAUUUGGAGGUGGUAUCAAACGGAGUGAAACUGGGUGACGUGAUAGUUGAUUCGAGCUCUUCGCCAUUAGCGUCGGCUACAAAGGUAUGGGUCUUUCAUCUCCAAAGAGGCACCGAUGUUUGGGUAAGAACUACAACAUUUGGAAUAAGCCCCAACGAUGUCCAUGGACACUCGCAUACCAUGCUGACAGGCUGGCUUCUUUACGAUGACUGAGCUGAUACAUUUGUAAAACUUAAUAGAUGCAAAUAAAAAAAGGUUUAUCUAAAGGGACCGUCAACCAGAUUGACAAAAAAAGAAAAGUUAUAAAAUAC